rnacentral:rRNA from 1 species
AUUGAACGCUGGCGGCAUGCCUUACACAUGCAAGUCGAACGGCAGCAUGGAGAGCUUGCUCUCUGAUGGCGAGUAGCGAACGGGUGAGUAAUGCAUCGGAACGUACCGUGUAAUGGGGGAUAACGUAGCGAAAGUUACGCUAAUACCGCAUACGACCUGAGGGUGAAAGCAGGGGAUCGCAAGACCUUGCGUUAUACGAGCGGCCGAUGUCAGAUUAGCUUGUUGGUGGGGUAAAAGCCCACCAAGGCGACGAUCAGUAGCUGGUCUGAGAGGACGAUCAGCCACACUGGGACUGAGACACGGGCCAGACUCCUACAGGAGGCAGCAGUGGGGAAUUUUGGACAAUGGGGGCAACCCUGAUCCAGCAAUGCCGCGUGAGUGAAGAAGGCCUUCGGGUUGUAAAGCUCUUUUGUCAGGGAAGAAACACCGGCUCUAACACAGUCCGGGAAUGACGGUACCUGAAGAAUAAGCACCGGCUAACUACGUGCCAGCCGCCGCAGUAA